rnacentral:lncRNA from 1 species
GACGACGACGAGGAGGAGGAGGAGGGGGACUCGUACGCCACGGCGCUCCUCCCGCUCGCGCUGCCGCUGCCGCUCGGCGCCGGAGCCACCGGCGGCUCCGGCUCCGUGGCGGCGGCGGCGGGGUAGUUGGUGGUGGCGCCGGGCCCGCGGAGCCUGCGCGCGGCGGCGUCGUACGCCCGCGCCGCCUGCUCGGGCGUGUCGAAGGUGCCCAGCCACACGCGCGCCUUCGUCACGGGGUCACGGAUCUCCGCCGCGUACCGGCCCCACGGCCGCUUCCGCACGCCGCGCAGCCUCGGCGGCGCGAACAAGCCGCUUCCGCUGCUGCUGCUGCUUCCGGACGGCGACGUCCAUCUCUUGGGCGCCAUGGAACUCGACCGCCGCUCUCGCAGGCUUGUUGCCUUGGGAGUAUAUAUGUACCCAUGGGAGGCGGGCGGCGGGACGGUGACAGGGUGAGGUGGAGUGUGGGGCCCAUGGCGCCGCCCCCUGCGCGUUUCGGCGGCUCCUGCCGUCGGGUUUCCGGGGGCCCGUUUCGUGAGCGUCGGCGCGUCAUGCUCAUCGUGCGCGUGAGCUACCGUGUCUGCUCUAGAGGAGGGGCUGAUAGAAGAAAGUUGCCACCCCCAACUGGAAUCCAUCAUUAUCACAAAAAAAAAAAAAAACUGGAAUCCAUCGUUUCUUCGAGAGCGUUGGUGCAUCGACGCACGUGCGCUGUAUAAGAAUUGUGUGAACGUAAUAACCGUUUCUUAGGGUGCGUUUGGUUUCCUUACAAAGGCCCACGGUGACCAAGUAAUUGCCUUGUGUGUCUAGUUGUUGUAUCCAUGGAGCAAGGCCUAAGAAAGAAAUCAUUUGGUUUGCUCCUAUUCGCACCGCUCCUCUCUGCUUAGUGCAGGCAGAUGCGCCUGGAUGCAUGCAUGAGCUUGGUCCAUGCAAAACAAACAAAGAAUUUGUAUACAGGCCGACGCGCUCCUUUUGCACCGUGUGAGCCAGAUUUGAUAGCUGCGCCAACCAAACAAUAGUUAAAUCCGUGUCUCGGAAGAUAGGUUGGGGUACUCUUUUUACAGUGUGUGCCAACCAAAAUAAUCAUAGAAUCCGUAUCCCAGAAGGCUGGCUGGCGUGCUCCUUUAAUUUGCAUUGUGUGAGCCAGGUCCAAUGACUAUGCCAGUCAAGCAAUCGAACAAUUCAUAUCUCGGGAGGCUAGCUAGCGCACCCCAUUUGCACCGCGUGAGCUAGUUCUGAUAGCUACGCCAACCAAACAAUAGGAGGAUGCGUAUGCCAGGAGGCAGGUUGGCGCGCUCCUAAAAUUCGUAUCUCAGGAGGCUGGUUGGCGCGUCCCUUUUGCACCGCGUGAGCUAGAUUCGAUAGUUGCGCCAACCAAACAAUUGUAAGAUCCGUAUCUCCCAGGAGACAGGUUGGUGUGCUCCUUUAAUUUGCACCGCGUGAGCCAUGUCCAAUAACUAUGCCAGCCAAGCAAUCGCAAAAUUCGUAUCUUGGGAGGCUGGUUGGCGCGCCCCUUUUACACCGCGUGAGCCAGAUCCGAUAGUUGCGCCAACCAAACAAUUGUAGGAUCUGUAUCCUAGGAUACAGGUUGGUGUGCUCCUUUAUUUUGCACCGCGUGAGCCAUGUCCGACGGAUGUGCCAGCCAAACAAUUGUAGAAUUCGUAUCUCGGGAGGCUAGUUGGCGUGCCCCUUUUGCACCGCGUGAGCCAGAUCCGAUAGCUGCGCCAACCAAACAAUUGCAGGAUCCGUAUCCUAGGAUACAGGUUGGUGUGCUCCUUUAUUUUGCACCGCGUGAGCCAUGUCCGACGGAUGUGCCAGCCAAACAAUUGUAGAAUUCGUAUCUCGGGAGGUUGGUUGGCGCGCCCCUUUUGCACAGCGUGAGCCAGAUCCGAUAGCUGCGCCAACCAAACAAUUGCAGGAUCCAUAUCCUAGGAUACAGGUUGGUGUGCUCCUUUAUUUUGCACCGCGUGAGCCAAGUUCGACAGAUGUGCGAGCCAAACAAUUGUAGAAUUCGUAUCUCAAGAGGCUGGCUGGUGCGCUCCUUUUGCACCGAGUGAGCCGAGUUGGUAUGCUCCUUUAAUUUGCACCGCGUGAGCCAGGUCCGACGGCUAUGCCAGCCAAACAAUUGCAGAAUUCGUAUCUCAGGAGGCUGGCUGGCGCGCUCUCUUUGCACCGCGUGAGCCAGAUCCAAUAGUUGCGCCAACCAAACAAUUACAGGGCGCGUAUCCCGGUAGGCAGGUUGGCGCGCUCCUUUUGCACCGCAUGAACGAGGUCUGAUAGCUAGGCCAACCAAACAAAUCGCAAAAAUCGUAUCUCGGGAGGCGGGUUGGUGUGCUCGUUUUGCGCCGCGUGAGCUAGUGCGACAACCGCGCCAUCAAAACAAUCGCAGAAUCCAUAUCUUGGGAAGCAAGCCCGCGCGCUCCUUUUGCACGGUGAGUCGGUCCAACAGCUACGCCAACCAAGCAAUCGCAGAAUCCGUAUUAUAGGAGACAAGUUGGUGCGCUCCUUUUGCACCGCGUGAGCCAGAUUCGAUAGCUGCGCCAACCAAACAAUCGUUUGUUCUCGCACACAGAGGGCUUCGAUGAGGGCAGGAGCAGCCACCAAUCACGCGUUUAUUUCAUUCUUUUCACUUCAAUAGAUUUGCUUGGGAAAGUGUUAUGCUGUGCUUGUUUGUUGCCGGAGCCGAUGUAGCAAGCUCUCUUCCCCGAGCAGGUCGAAUAGGGAGUGUAACACUUCGCGUUUUGUAUCAUUCCAAAUGAUAGGAAAUUUUGGGUUUUCUAAAUUUAUUGUUUUAAUGUAUAUGUUUAGAUAUAGUGUAUUUAAGUACAUAAUAUCUAGAAAAAUCUAAAUUAUUUCAUAAUUUAGAAUAUGGGGGAGUAUUUGCGUAGGACAGGGCAUGCUCAAACUACCGAUGCCUACUGUAGAUCGGUAGGCAUGUCAGCACGUGGUUUUGCUGUCCCAAACAGCUGAAAAAAAAAUCGGCCCAAGGGUUCAAGAGAAAGGCACCGAUGCUCAAAGCGACGUCGUAAUUUGUUUCCGUUAAAAAAUUGCGACGUCGUAAUUUGAGAAGAAGAAAAAAAGGACUGAAGGAGUAUAUGUGCAGGUGGGCAGCCUGGCAGGUAGCGUGGCGAGGGCGGCGGCUACGGCUGCUGCGACUGCGAGUGCCCCCCACCCGCACGCACGCACACGGACGGAACGGCGCCGGCCAACAGCCGCGCCGCCGGGUCGUGUGGCUUUGGGGCGGUUGGUGGAGGGGGUUGGACGGUGCCACGCACACACACGUCGCUUUCCUAAUUUUUUUUUUAAUAAUUUCCCGCCGUCCGGGCCGGUCCCGGCGCGGCGCGGCCCCUGCUGCCGACACGAAACGAGUGCGUUAACUCAAAAAAAAAACAAAAUAACUUUCGUUUAAUCUAAUUAUGGACUAAGUAGAUUUAAAAAUUUUGUCUCGUAAAUUACAGAUAAACUAUAUAAUUAGUUAUUUUUUUUAUUUAUAUUUAGUAUUUGAUAUAUACCACAAAAUUUGAUGUGACGAGAAAUGUGAAAUUUUUUUGCAAAAUAUUUUAGAAACUAAACAAGGCACAAGUCAUGUAAACUGCUGGAGUUCAAAAGUGACGGAUAUACAGUAAAAAUGAGAGCCGCUGGGGGCAUAAUUCAUUGUUGCGUGCCUUUCAGCAAAGAUGCAAAUCUGUCAGUUUGUAUAACAAAGAAAACACGGCUAAGCGCAUGCACAAAUCUGCAUCCUAUUUACAGUUGUACAUUUGAACGACUGCCUCCGAUCGAUUACCAACUACUCCUGGACGACAGUAAAAUAAUUAAAAAAAAACUACUCCUGGACGACAGCGGCAAUCACACGACCAUCUCGGCCGGCAGCAGCGCCAGGUUGAGGUCGAGCCCUAGACCCAGGCCCACGGGCGGCGGCGCCGCGUCGAACACCACAGAUGACGACGACGGCGACCCAGAGCAGCUCCGCUCCUCCUCGCUCUUCGGAAGCAGGAACGGCAGCAGGGCCGGUGUCGGAUCCAUGAACAGCUGGUACGUCUUUGCGACCGAAGCCGAAGCCGGCAGCGCCAGGCUCAGGUCCAGCGACGGGGCCGGCGCCGUGACGGCCACCGUCACCGACUCCGGCAGCAGGGAGCACGAGGAGGAGGAGGAGGAGGACGACGACAACGACGACUCGUGCACAACGGCGCUCCCGCUCCCGCUCGCGCUCCGCGCUGGAGCCUCCGCCGGCGCCAUCGGCUCCGAGGACUGGGGGUAGUUGGUGGUGGCGCCGGGCCCACGGAGCCUGCGCGCGGCGGCGUCGUACGCCCGCGCCGCCUGCUCGGGCGUGUCGAAGGUGCCCAGCCACACGCGCGCCUUCCUAACGGGGUCACGGAUCUCCGCCGCGUACCGGCCCCACGGCCGCUUCCGCACGCCGCGCAGCCUCGGCUGCUCCGCCGCCGCCGCCUCGAACACGCCGCUGCCGCUGCUUCCGGCCGGUGACGACGAUCUCUUGGGCGCCAUGGAUGAUGAUGGAUGGAGACUCGCCUCUCGCCUUGUUUUGCUGCCGUGGAGCUUCGGGGGAUGGAUGGAUGGAUGGCUGGAUGGAUUGGAAUGCCGCUGGCGCCUGGCGGGGCGCGGGACUAUAUAUACACCACGGCAACGGGACGGCCGGGGGGGCGGCGGGACGGUGACAGGGUGAGGUGGACUGUGGGGCCCACGCCAAGCAGACGCACGGAAGGUGAGGCCUGAUCUGACUGUGGACCGGUCCUUGGGCGGCCGUGGGGCCCAGGGCGCCGCCCCCCAGCGCGUUUCGGUGGCUCCUGCCGUCGGGUUCCUAGGGCCGUUUCGUGCGCGUCGGGGCGUCGUGCUCUCUCGGGGAUCCGUCUCGUGGCUCACGUGGCACGCGACCGCGUAGGUUUUGCCCGCGCAGCCGUCGGAUCUAAGUUUGACGUUUUUAUGAUGUGUGUGAAUAGAGCUUGAGGUCGAUGCAGGUCUAGUUGUUCUUCCUCCAUCUUAGAGGAUAAUAAUAAUAAUAUAGUUGUACUAAUACCGUUAGACUAUUUCGUGCACAAUUUUGCAAACUACACACUCGAUUUAUAGCGAUAAUAUAUAAGUGUAUUUUUGGCAUGACUUUUUGGGUUCAGAUUUUUCCACACCAGCAAUUUUUUUUUUCCUUUCAUCGUGAAAUGAACGUGGAGCCGAGACGAGCCAUGAUCCUUCGAUCCUAUAUUGUGAAGUUUUUAGCCCAAGAGAGCCCAUCCAAAUAGGAAACAUGCAUGUCUACGAAUCGUGAUAUGACCAAAAAUUGCUAGAAAUGAAGGAGAAUGGGUUUAAUAAGAUUUCUUUUAAGCUAUGACAUACAAUCGGAGGUGCUCUCUUGCUGUACUCUUGCACAACUGUUUGAUUUUGCACUGCAUAGUUGUAGCAAAAAAAACCCCACCUAAAGGGGCCCGAGCAACUACCCCAUCGCAUUUCGGCAGCUCCUAUCGUCGGACUGCUAGGCCGGUUUCGUGUGUGUCGCGGCGUCAUGCUCAUGGGCUACCAUGUUCGUUCUACUGUUGGCUCGCUCCGAUAUGCCUCGUGUCUCUUAUGUUGGAUGUCGCGGAGGGAGGAGUAGGGGCGUUGCUCAAAAGGAGGGGAGGAUGGCUGCGCUACGCAAGAGGAAGGAGGACGUGGGUCUCGCCUGGAGCUCGUGAGAGAGGGUGAGGUGAGUAGAGUACCGAUUGAAACCUUAAGUUACAUAUUUAUAGUGGAUCAGCCUACAGGGCCUAAAUCUGGGCCUAUUUGGGCCGAGUUAUUUUUUCGUGGCGGUUUAGUUUGGACGCUAGUCUUCAAAAAUAGAUGUAUUUUUGGAGGCGGGCCAGUCAUAAAAUCCGUCUCUGUUAAUAGAUUUUAGGAGGCGGUUAUUUUUUAACCGUCUCUGUAAAUCUAUUUUGCGAAGCCUCUAUAAAUCUAUUUUAUGAGGCGGUUGAUUGUAACCACUUUAGUUAAGAAAAAACAAUCGUCUUAGUUAAUUCGAAGCAUUAACCGAGGUGAUUGAAAUGGCUGACCGCCUCUAAGAACUAAUCCUAAAUGUCCGAUUUUUUUAGUGGUGGAAGUUGCACGUCUACAACUUGUACACAGUUUUCUGGGGCAUCGUGCUCCUGCAGGGCACGCCGGCACGCUCACUCCUGCACUGGCCAUCGCAACGCGGUAUCCAUCUUUUCUUCGGCGUGUCAAGGAAAAAAAAAACGAGAAAAAAAAGAAACGCAGCGCGAGGGAAUAUUGUGCAGGUGGGCAGGUAGCGUGGCGGCGGCGGCGGCGGCUGCUGCUGAGUGCCCCCACCCGCACGCGGAACGGCGCGGGCCCAGGGCCCACAGCCCCGCCGCCGGGUCGUGUGGACUUUUUAGGCCUUGUUUACUUUCCAGAAAAAUUUGCAAAAUUUUUCACAUUCUCUGUCACAUCGAAUCUUUAGACGUAUGUAUGGAGUAUUAAAUAUAGACGAAAAUAAAAACUAAUUGCACAGUUUGGUCGAAAUUGACGAGACGAAUCUUUUCAGUCUAGUUAGUCCAUGAUUGGACAAUAUUUGUCAAAUACAAACGAAAGUGCUACAGUGUCCAUUUCUCAAAAUUUUUCGGAACUAAACAAGGCCUUAAAAUCCGGGGGCGGCGGCUGGUGGCGACGUCGUCGGCGGCACGCGGCAGGCACAUCGCGGCGCGGGGAGCAGCCGCCACGCCGCUGUCAGUGGGGGUUGGACGGUGCCCUGCCGCAGCGCACACACACGCGUCGCUUUUGCCACUUUUUUUUAUUCCCGCCGUCCGGGCGGCCGGGUCCCGGCGCGGCGCUGGGUGGGUGCCGACACGACGCGAGAGGGCGUUUGCCUCGAAGUCUCGGUGUACUUGCCAGGACAGCCGAACGUGCCGCCGCCCGCCUUGUGCGCGCCGCGUCUUCGGCCGCCGCUGCUCACCACGCGUGACGCGGACUUGACCGGGCGUUACCGCCCGUCCCGUAUCGGUACCGUGUAAAUUAACCCCGGAUCUGUAGAGGUUUGUCGACGAAUGUGGAAACAAACGUAUAUGUACGGCCAUGUGGAAACAAACGUAUAUCACAUCGAAUCUUUAGACGUAUGCAUGGAAUAUUAAAUAUAGAUUAAAAUAAAAAUUAAUUACACAGUUUGAUCGAAAUUGAUGAGACGAAUCUUUUAAGCCUAGUUAGUUUAUAAUUAGACAAUAUUUGUCAAAUAUAAAUGCAAAAUAUUAUUAUUUAUAAAAAUUAAUUGCACAGUUUGAUCGAAAUUGACGAGACGAAUCUUUUAAGCCUAGUUAGUUUAUAAUUAGACAAUAUUUGUCAAAUAUAAAUGAAAAAUAUUAUUAUUUCUAUUUUGCAAAAUUUUUUGGAAGUAUAGUCUGCAACUGAACACAUGAGACCGUAGUAGUACACGGAACGGAUCUGUCAUGACACUUUGAAACUUUGCAUGCUCUGUAGGGUUGCGAGCGGAGUAUAGUCUGCAACUGAACACAUGAGGACCUUGAUUACCUUGGCCUUGUUCAGUUCCAAUUUUUUUUUUAAUUUUUGAUAUCGUAUCACUUUCAUUUAUGGAGCAACUAUGUUCGAAAGAUUUAUUUUACGAUUGUAUAAUUUUGUUUUUAUUUAUAUUUAAUAUUUUAUAUACGUGGCGCAAAAUUCAAUGAGACAAGAAAUAUUUAUUUUUUUUGUUUUUGACGUGAACUAAGGCCCUUGCAAAAUUUUUGCAAUUCUUUUCGGCACAUGUAUGAAUAUUAAAUAUAGAUAAAAAAACUAAUAAUUUACAAGACAAAUCUUUUAAAUCUAAACAAUAUUUGUUAAAUACAAACGAAAAUACUACCAUGUCUAUUUUGUAAAAAAAAAAAGUUGCAACUAAACAAGUCCGAGAAAGAGAUUGCUGAUUUCCGUGAAAACUUUUUUUUCUUUUGGCGAUAGAUUUCCGUGAAAACUGAUGAACUGCAUGAGAGAGAUUUACUUUUGCUGGAAGUUCUUGCCUUGCAUGAUCGGGGAAAAGAGUGAUCUACAAAAGCACGCUAGCUAACAGUAACAGCUGCCUAUUUACAUUGGUGUUACACACGGUAGCUGCCUGGCUGAUGACACCUUCGAAAUUGGUGAUGCUCAUUUCGGUCGCUACUACAUGACCAUCUCGACGGGCGGAGGCAGGUUGAGGUCAAGAAGCCCCAAGCCCACCACCUGCCCCGCAGACGACGACGACGACGAUGACCACCGUGCGGAGCGGCUCCUCCGCUCUUCCUCGCUCCUCGGCGGCAACAACUGACGCAGCGCCAGCGCAGCCGUCGGGUCCAUGAACAGCUGGUAGGGCUUCACGGCCGCCGCCGCAUCAGCCGGCAGCGCCAGGCUGAGGUCCAGUGACGCCGCGACCGCCACCGUCACCGACUCCUGCGGCGGCAGCGGCAGGGACCACGAAGACGACGACGACGGCUCGUACACCACGCCGCUCCCGCUCGCGCUCGCCGCUGGAACCGGCUCUGAGGCCUGGGGGUAGUUGGUGGUGGCGCCGGGCCCGCGGAGCCUGCGCGCGGCGGCGUCGUAGGCCCGCGCCGCCUGCUCGGGCGUGUCGAAGGUGCCGAGCCACACGCGCGCCUUCCGCACCGGGUCACGGAUCUCCGCCGCGUACCGGCCCCACGGCCGCUUCCGCACGCCGCGCAGCCUCGGCUGCUCCGCCGCCGCCGCCAACGGGCACACACCGCCGCCGCUGCUGCUGUUGCUUCCAGACGACAGCGACGUCGAUCUCUUGGGCGCCAUGGGUGGAGCAGUAAUCCAACUGGUGGUGUCGCCUCGGCCUCGCGUACUCGCCGCUCGUAGCCUGUUUGCCUUGCUUUUCUGCUGGUUGUUUGUUUGCCGUGGAGCUCGGAGGAUUGAUGGAUGGAUGCCAAUGUCGCUGGCGAGGCGCCGGAAUAUAUAUAUAUACACACGGGACGGGAGAAGGGGCGGCCGGCGGCUGGACGGUGACAGGGGUAAAGGUGGAGUGUGAGGGGCCCACGCCGAGCAGAUGCACGGAACGUGAGGUCUGGUCUGACUACGGACCGGGCGGUGGGGCCCAAGGCGCCGCCCCGGCCGGCGGCUCCUGCCGUCGGGUUCCCGGCCGGCCCGUUCCGUGUGCGUCGCGUCGGCGCGUCAUGGUCAGGCGCGUGCGUGAGCUACCGUGUGUGCUCUGCCGCUGGCUCGCUCGGAUCCGCCUCGAUCGUGUGGCUCGUGUUGGAUGUCGCCGCCGCGUUGAUUUGCCUGCGUAGCCGUCGGAUCGAUGUUGGACGCUUGAUUAUCUAUGUGAAUACACGAUUUAUAGACUUUGGCCUUGGUUUAGUUCACUCAAAAACCAAAAAUAUUUCAAAAUUAUCUGUCACAUCAAAAUCUGUGUUACAUGUAUGGAGCAUUAAAUAUACGCGAAAACAAAAACUAAUUGCACAGUUUGUCUGUAAAUCGUGAGAUAAAUCUUUCGAGUGUAGAUAAAAUUUUUGAGAACUAAACAAGACCUAUUUCGUGCACAAUUUUGCAGACUACAUACUCGAUUUAUAGGGAUAGUAACUGUCUUUUUUGGUUCGUGUUUUUCUACACCAGCAAUUCAUUUUCUCUCUCUCUCUCCUUGUGAAAUGAACGUGGGGCUUUCUUAAAAAAAUGAACUUGGAGCCAAAAGGAGCUAUGAUUCUACGAUCAUAUAGUUAUGAAGUUGUAGUCCAAAAGAGCUCUUCCAAAUGAGAUCUAGGGAUGAAAACAUGCCUAUCUACGAGACGUGAUAUUGCCAAAGUUUACUAGGAAUGAAGAAGAAUAGGUUUAAUAAGAUUCCUUUGAAUGUGCCAUGAUCCUCAAUCAUAUAGUCAUAAGCGGAUCCACCAGUAGCGCGAGCCAGGGCGGCCGCCCUAGGUCCUUUUAGGACUGAUCUAAAACUAUAUAUAAAUUUUAGAUAUUAAUACGAAAUGAAAAGAGACUUCUAGAGUAUCCGAUGGAGGUUGAAAACACCUUAGAUGUCUUGGACCAUCAUGUGUGGUUCAGCCAAUAUAGAAAACCACAGCCCACAAAGCGCAAUAAGAAUAUGAUCGGUGUUUCUCACGUUUCUCGCUAUUCUCGACUUCUGACUUUCUGGUCAUCUCUCUCGUUAAUUCACAAACUUGCGGAACCUAAGAACCUGCGCCGGGCUACAGGUAUCUUCAUUUUUUAUUUGCCCUUUUCACAUAGUUAAUUAUUUAAAAUUUGAUUAAGGAUGAAUCAUCGAAUGAUUUAGUGAAGUCAGUUUAGAACUAUUAGUAUUAGUAUGUAUGACUUCUCUUAAUUUAAGGAACAAACUUCUUUAAUUUUGAUGUAGAAAAUAUAUACUGGAAACUUUAAUAUUGGUUAAAUUAUUAUGUUGACAAAGCAACUUAUGGAAUUUGUUAGCUUAUAUUGUCAUUGGUUUACUAAAAUUUUAUAGUAUAAGUUCGCCUUAGGUCAUUUCUCGAGCUGGAUUCGCCACUAGUGAGAAGACGAGCCGAAAAGAACCGGUUCAAAUGGGGUCCAAGAAUAGAAACAUGCAUGAUCGCAUAGGAAAUGUGGAAUGAGCGGAACGCCCGCUGCUUCAGGGGAGGCAGCACGCAGCUCGCCACAGUGAAGGACAACAUCAAAAGGGAAGCAGAGCUAUAGAUCCUAGCUGGCGCCAAGCACUUGGGGAGUCUAGUAAUGUGAGUAAUGGGUUAGCACAUUGAGUAGCGAGGAUGCAUGAGAACUGAAAAUGUAAACCGCCUCGUUUGUAUUUAAACUCUAUAUAUAUGCUCUUAACGAAAAUACGCGCAAAUCUUUGCGUGAUUAAGAAAAAAAAAAGACAAAAGGCACGAAAAUCUUAGAGAAAACAAAAGCAACAGAUUCACAUGCGUGGCGACUGCUGUGAUCGAUUGAUCAAGGUAUAGCAGUGCGGGAGCAAAAGCGAACAAAAGAGGAGGUACUCAUUGGCGGAUUCAGGGGGGGCUGGGGGGGGCUGCAGCCCCCCCCCCCCUUGGGCAAGAAAUUUUGUUAACAAAAAUAUUUUUUAUACUAAAAAUUCAUAUUUUUAUUAACAAAAAUACAUUUUUAGUUCUAAAAAUUCAUAUUUUUCAACAAAAAUACAUUUUUAGUUCUAAAAAUUCGUUUAGUGAAUUCCUGAAGAUAAAAAACUUUUUGUAUUUGAUAUUUUUCUAUGCUUAUUGUGUAUUUUUUUACUUUGAGUACUUUAAAAAUUAUCAAUUUUAGCUAUAUCUAUUAGUGUACUAGGUCUAACGAGCAAAAAAAAAAUUUUUAGCUUAUGUCAUUUAGCCCCCAUCUCAGUCCGUUUCUGGAUCCGCCACUGGAGGUACUACCGUUGUUUGUUAACGUUUCUAAGCUGGAGAAGGCGACAACAAACCAUUUUAAUUCUAAAGAAAUAAAAAUAUCAGUCAAAUCGACGUCGUGGUGAGAAAAAAGAGAGGGAAAAACAAAAGAAACGCAGCGCGAGGGAAUAUUGUGUGCAGUGCAGGUACGUACUACCAGGUAGCGUGGCGGUGGCGGCGGCUGCGAGUGGCCCCCCACCUCACCCAGACGCGCGCGGACGGAACGGCGCCGCGGAUCGUGUGGACUUUUUUAAAAACCGGGGGAGCGGCGGUUGGUGGCGACGUCGUCGGCGGCACGCGGCAGGCGCAUCGCGGGGAGCAGCCGUCACGCCGCUGUCAGGGGGUUGGACGGUCUGAUGCACCGCACGCACACACGCGUCGCUUUACCACUUGUUUUUGUUUUUUUUUUAUAAAAAAAUUCCCGCCGUCGGGGCCGGGUCCCGGUGUGCCGACAUGACACGAGCGUGCGUUGCCUCGAAGUCUCGGUGGAGUACUUGCCAGGACAGAUCGAACGUGCCGCCGCCCGCCUUGUGCGCGCCGCGUCUUGGGCAGCUCAUCUCGCGUGAACGCGGACUUGAGGUCUGUAAGCUGUCGACGCACGUCGAAACGAACCUCAGGACUUGUCCAAAAAUUUUUUAGAUUUUGACACUGUAGUAUUUUCGUUUUUAUUUGACAAAUAUUAUUUAAUCAUGAAGCAACUAGGCUUGAAAGAUUCGUCUCGUGAUUUACAGGUAAACUGUGCAAUUAGUUAUCUUUUUUAUCUAUAUUUAAUGUUCCAUGCAUGUCCCACAAGAUUCGAUGUGAUGGGGAAUCUUGUAAAGUUUUGGUUUUUGGGUGUAUCUAAACAAAGCCUUAUACUGUAGUAGUACUUUGCAAGCAAGAUUUGUUUAGGCCUUGUUAGUUCAUCCAAAAAAGCAAAAAAUUUUCAGAUUCCCAGUCACAUCGAAUCUUGCGGCAUAUGCAUGGAGCAUUAAAUAUAAACGAAAACAAAAACUAAUUGCACAGUUUACCUGUAAAUUAUGAGAUGAAUCUUUUGAGCCUAAUUAGUCUUUGAUUGGACAAUGUUUGUCAUAUAAAAACGAAAGUGCUACAGUACACCAAAAUGCAAAAUUUUGGGAACUAAACAAGGCCCACCCCUAAAAACUCAAAACUUUUCAAGAUUUCUUGCCAUAUCGAAUCCUGCAGCAAAUAUGCAUAGAGCAUUAAAUAUAGAUAAAAAUAAAAACUGAUUAUACAGUUUGUCUGUAAAUAACGAGACGAAUCUUUUAAGCAUAGUUACUCCAUGAUUAGUCAAUGUUUGUCAAAUAAAAACGAAAAUAUUACAAUGUCGUUUUCCCAAAAUUUUUUGAAACUAAACAAGACCUUAGUUCAAAUUUUUUUGUAAAAUCAGAGUAUUAAAUAAAGUCAAAAAUAAAAAUCAGACAGUUCAUCUGUAAUUUGCGAGACGAAUCUUUUUAGCCUAGUUAGUCUGUGAUUAGAUAAUAUUUGUCAAAGUAUACAUGAAAGUGCUAUAGUAUUUAUUUUACAAAAAAUUUUGAAACUAAGAGCAUCUCCAAGAACUUGGUAAAAUUCACUUGCUAUAUCUUGGGUUAUAGCAAGUUGCUAAAUUGUUUGUCAAGUAAAAAAAAGAUAUGUCUCCAACAAGUUGGUAUUUUUACUUGGUAUAAUUCAAAAACUGGGCCCAUCUUUGUCAAUUUCUGGUACUGGGCCGCUGCGAUCUCUCUCUAUCGUGCCAGCCGCCGCCGCCGUAGCUUUCGUCUGGCCGGUGUCAUCACAGGACACGAUCAAUUCGUCCGGCCGGAAUCAACACACAUCCGGUACUGCUGCUGCUUCCGGCCGGCCAGCACCAGCGACGCAGGCAUCUCCUCCUCCCCUUUGAGGUCAGUAGGUCAUCUCUACGCUCGGCUAGUCUCUGCGGUUUUUUUUCUGAAAAUUGUUUCAUGUUUUAGUUUGCUGUUGAUCCAUGGUGUUCACAACUCUUGAUAUUCAGAAAACAUGCCUAGGAAAAGAUCCCGUCUUCAAAGCCAAUUAGAUGAUUCAUCAUCCGAUGAUGAUGAAUCUUUCUUUCUAUCGGCUGCUGCAAUUGUCGACACCUUCUCCAGUGAGGAAAAAAACAUGGUGGCUCGGUUCCAGGCCAUAGAGUUAUUUACCGUGAUAGAGAAGGCGGGCACGCGAGGAUGUUUAAAGAUUAUUUGGAUAAAAAUCCAACGUACGGCCCUAAAAUGUUCCGUCGGAGGUUUGUGUUCCUUCAUUUCAUACUGAUUUGUUGUAUGUUCGUAAAUAUCACUCUAGUUGUUAAAUUAUGGAUUUGUUUUCUUUAGGUUCAGAAUGUCUAGGGAGCUUUUCAAACGCAUAAUGAAGGCCGUCGAAGAACAUGAUGAUUACUUUGUGCAGAAAAGGAAUGGAGCUGGUGUACUUGGAUUGUCUUGCUUUCAGAAGAUAACUGCUGCAAUGCGUAUGCUCACAUAUGGGGUUCCAGCAGAUGCGACUGAUGAGUACGUGCGCAUUGGCGAAAGUACAGCACUUGAGAGCCUACAUAGAUUUGUUGCUGCAGUGGUUGAAAUUUUUGAAGAUGAAUACCUUAGACAUCUCAAUGAGAAAGACAUAGCACGCCUACUUGCAAUGGGUGAGAACGAAGGCUUCCUCGAAAUGUUAGGGUCCAUCGAUUGCAUGCAUUGGGCGUGGAAGAACUGUCCAUAUGAUAAACAAGGGCAGUACAAGGGGCAUGUGGAGAAGCCGACUAUCAUCUUGGAAGCUGUUGCUAGCGCUGAUCUUUGGAUAUGACAUGCCUUCUUUGGAAUGCUCGGGUCUCAUAAUGAUAUCAACGUUCUCCAUAGUUCUCCUUUAUUUGAUAACUUGGCGGAAGGUAGAGCUCCUGAAGUGAAAUAUUCUGUUAACGGCCACGAGUACACAAUGGGCUACUAUCUUGCAGAUGGUAUAUACCCCGAUUGGGCUACUUUGGUCAAGACAAUCAGACAUCCUAUGGGUAGCAAGAGGCAAUAUUUUGCUAAAGCGCAAGAAGCUGCACGGAAGAUGGUGGAGAGAGCUUUUGGUGUUCUACAGUCUAGGUUAGCCAUUGUUCGAGGACCGGCUCGUUUAUGGGACGUAGAGACAUUGUCAUUGAUCAUGACAGCCUGUGUGAUCAUGCACAACAUGAUUGUCGAAGACGAAGGAUUUGUGGUGGACCCAAACGAGCGUUUCGAUUACGGUGGAGAUAAUGUCCAACCUGAUCAUGGCCACGCUCAUCGAACACUUGAGGAGUUCAUUGAGGCGCACAAAAAAAUCCGAGAUAAGAACACACAUGAGCAGUUGAAAGGAGACCUAAUCGAACACCUUUGGAACCAUCAUCCAGAUUUAUAUUAGAUACCUUUUUCAAUUUUAGUUGCUUCUGUUCUAGUUCUUCAUCGCAUGAAACUUUAGUUGCUACUGUUUUAUUUUUUACUCAAGUACAAUGCACCAGGAAGAUUUGCCGGCCACCAAGAACUGAGCAACGCCCAUCAUCGGCGCUGAUCAAAUGGCAGCACAUAGUGACAAGCACAAUAGCAUGCAAAUAAAGCCAACAUGCUGAAACAAAUAGCAUGCAAAUGACGCAGAUCAGAGGAAGAUUUCAGGACUGGUUCAUAUAGUGAUACUGAAACAAAUGUCGUGCUCAAACUUAAACUUUGAUAAUAGGUUCUACAGACUGAUACAUAAGCUGAACAGAGUACAGAAGAAAUAAUUCAACAAAUCUUUUUUUCUGCAUCAUUUUAAACUAAACUCAACUUUCUUGAUGCUUCGCGAGUAUCUUCUUCUGCAUAAUUUCAAUCCAAGAACGUUGCGUCGGAUUGAGGGAGGUCAUGUCUGCUAGCAUAAUAUCCUUUUCCUCUUUUAUCAAGGUGGCAUCAGCUAAUUUUGUUUCAUUUUCUACCCUCUUUUUCUGCAGCUCGGCUUCAUUUUCUACCCUUUUUUGCUCUAGGUGUAGUGUAGCCUUCUCUAUCUCAAGGGUUUGCAUGAACCUUUCCUCUUUGGUCUUCUCCUUUUCCUUGUCCGCAGCCUCCUUUUUGGCCCACAUCAUGUUGAAAGCUUCGAUGCAAGCCUGCCCACCUCCUUGCCUCAUUUUUUCCUUAGCCUGUGCAAAUAAUUUUGAACAUAUCAAUAAGGAAUAAUUGUUGGGAGACCACAAUAGGGAAAAUUUGCAGGUUAUAUGCUAUAUACCUUCUUUAUCCCAUCUGACCUUUUCCUUGGUUGGGUUUCUUCAUCAUCAACAGGUAUGACUUGAUCAUUAUUAGUGACUCCUUCAUCCCUUGGCCUAGACACCUUUCCUGCCUUCUUGUUCUUUUUGCUGGCUGCUAGUUUUUCUAUCUCUGCUAGUUCUAUCAUAUUGGCUCUCCACUUGUCCUCCCCCUUGAGUAUGGCCCAGCAGUGUUCAAGAGUAAACGUUUUGUGGUCCUUGUCUAAGUCCACAUACAUCUUUUUUGCUUCAUUAAGCUACAGGGAGCUAUUGUCAACAUAUAUACAUUUUCAAAUGCAAAACUUAAUGUACAACAUGCUGAACAUAUUUUGAUACCUUAUCCUGGAUAGUUGUGCCACUUUGGUUCCUACGAAGAAUGGCCUCAUAGUGAGAACAAAAUUUGUUCACUUGCAUCUGGAUUGUCAACCAACGAUGCAUAAUGGAACUCUCUGUACGAGGAAGUGCACUAUCAUUGUUUUCUUCAUAGUAUGCAUGAACUUUCCCCCAAAAUGUAGUACGCGAUUGAUUAGCCCCGUUGAUUGGAUCCUUGCUAACACUCAACCAUCCCUUGCAAAUAACUUCAUCCUCCUUGUAAUGAAAAUUUUUUGUCCUCCUUGGUCCUCCCUUGGUACUGCGGCUUGCCUGUACUUCGUCAACUUGAAUCUCAGAACCUUGAGUGGAUGGAAUGGUAAUGUCAUCUAUACCAGCAACAAAACCCUCUGCACUAUUCAGCAAAAUGUUUUCCAAAAAAUCUCCAUCUUCAGCCAUCACAACUGCUAUACAACAAAUUCAGAACAUUGAAUUUCAUGUAAAGAUCAGGGACAACAAAUAUAAUUAAAGGGACAGCACAUCAAGUACUCCAUUUAGUGCAGCCAUCGCAUCAGAAAAAAUUCAGAGACAGCAACGACAUAGAUGGCUGAAGAUGAACAGCGACAACAACAUUGACAUAGAUGGGCAUCAAUAACAUUGAACAGGAUUCUGAGGUGAAACAACUACAAAAAUGGCAACAUAGGGACUGCCAUAUAGCAUCUUGAUCAUAUCUGAAGUUCAGCAAAAGACUCAUGAAAGAUAUCUACCAAUAAAUUCAAAAGACCACUAGUCCGCUAGCAUGCAGGUCUGAUCAGUACUAUACCAAAGUACUUCACAGUACUGGACUACUGAGCUCCUCACAACAAUAGCACUGAAUAACAGCAGGUUGCAGAAGUCCUAUCCUAUAAACACAAUCUAACAAGUUCUUGUUUCAACUACUCUUAGUAAACAACACAGUGAUGCGGCACUUGUCCAAUCAAACCUAGCAUCUUGGAUCAGUAAUGAACAAAAUUGCUUCCAGAAGAAAUGUUUGCAAUUGUAGAACUGUUAUAAAUUCUCACCACAGUCAGCGAUCAUGCAUGCACUUCCCAGUACCCAGAAGAAAGAACAAUUUCUAUCGAAAUUCAAUUAAUCCUCUCCAGUCUCCAAAGCACCAGCUCUGGUCUCUCAAACUACCCUAGAUCAGCAUCACAACACCAGUGCUCUUCAACAGAAAACCUAGGCGAGAUAAGGAUGUGGAGAGAAAAGCAUGCGGCGAGAAGAAAGUAGCCGGCAAUACCUGAUUCCCAAACUGGGCGAAGCCGGCGCGACCUUGCUCAGCGUCUUGAAGGGAACAGAAAACGGCGGACCGAUCUUCCCUGGCGCACGAAAGGAGACGGCACCGCACCCUUAUCACCUGGAUCUUGCGCCGCUCCUCUUCCAGAAAACGGCGCCGCACGAAAGGAGCCGACACCGCACGAAAGGAACAGAAAACGGCGGCGCGAAUAGAAACCGGCAGCUCCCGCUGGAACACCUGGAUCUUGCGCCUCUCCUCCUCCAGCGCGAGUAGGUACUCGCGGCAGCGGCGGCGGCGGUGGUCGGCUUGCGCGCGAGAUUGCUUUGGCGCUGAACACCACUCUGGACCGGGCGGGAAGAAGUACAGACCAGUCUGCGCGCGAGAUUUCUCUGGGUUUCGCGCGCGCGAGAAUAGGCGGGAUCGAGCGGGACGGCGAUCGGCGAGUGACAAAAUUCGCGAUACAAAGCUCCAGCCGCGCGCGUAUUUCUCCGCAGUUGAGGCCGAUGGAUGCCAAGUUGGGAUAAAUAGCAAGUUGGGAUAAGGAGUUGUUGGAGAGGAGUUUUUCAUGCUUUUAACAAAUUUUAGAGGAUAGCAAGUUGGGAUAAGGAGUUGUUGGAGAUGCUCUAAACAAGGCUGAAGUCGAACUAUACAUGACAUAGGCCUUGUUUAGUUCACCACAAAAACCAAAAACUUUUCAAGAUUCUCCGUCACAUGGAAUCUUGCAGCACAUUCAUGGAGCACUAAAUAUAGUAAAAAACAAAAACUAAUUACACAAUUUGGCUGUAAAUCACGAGAUGAAUCUUUUGAGCCUAAUUAGUUUAUAAUUAAACAAUAUUUACCACAAAUAAACGAAAGUGCUACAAUACCCAGAACUAAAAAAAAUUUAGAAACUAAACAAGGCCAUAAGAAGAGAUUUAGCAUGUUUAGCCGGGGCCAGAAAAAAUGGAUUAACUUUGCUGGUUUUUUUUGCCUGGCAUGAUCGGCAGAAAGAGCUACGGAAACACACUAACAGUAAUAGCUGCCUAUUUACAUUUGUGAUUACACAUGGCUAGCUAACUGAUGACCUUUGAAUAUUUGGGCUCUGUUCAGUUCUCAAACAUUUUAUAAAAUUUUUACAAAAUUUCAUAAAAUCUUUCGAUACAUGUAUAAAACAUUAAAUAUAGAUUUAAAAAAAAUAAUUAAUUAUAUAAUUUACAUGUAAUUUAUAAGAUAAAUCUUUUUAGCCUAAUUAAUUUAUAAUCAGAUAAUAUUUUUUAAAUGCAAACGAAGAAAAUGCUACGGUAGCUAUUUUGCGACGCCCCAGACCCACCACCUGCAGCGCAGACGACGACGACGACCACCGGGCGUAGCAGCUCCGCUCUUCCUCGCCCUUCGGCGCCAACAACUGUCGCAGCGCCGGAGUGUUCAAUUUGUGCAAGCUGAUGUGAGGAUUUUAGGAGAUACCAUGGCACUGCAAUUUUGGUACGAGAUUAAGUAUUUUGCUCAUUGGUUAAAAUUCUUGCACUGCGAAGUUGCAAAUCGACUAGUGCACAGGGGGGAAAAAAAUGGAGGCGCAGCUACACGGAAACAAACCAAAUGUGCUUCCUAUUUACAGCACAUUUGGUAACCCCUUUUGCGACAAAUUACUAUCCCCGACGCUACAUGACCAUCUCGGCCGGCGGAGGCAGGUUGAGGUCGAGUCCCAGUCCCAGCACCGACGGCGACGGCGACGACGACCCCGAGUAGCAGCUCCGCUCCGCCUCCCUCUUCACCGGCGCCAACUGCAUCGGGUUCAGGAACAGGUACGGCUGGGCGGCCACCAUCGCCGGGAAGAGCCCAAGGCCUAGGUCGAGCGACGACGGCGACUGCGACUGCGACGGAGCCGGCGGCGCAGCGACCGCUACGGUCACUGCCAGCGGGUGGUAGUCGUCGUCCCUGGUGGAGAACGAGGACGAACAAGACUCUUCCCGGGCGCUGGCGCUGGCGCUGGCGCUCGGAACCUGCGCGGCGGCGCACGGCGGCGGUGCUGGGACGACGGCGUCGGGGUAGGUGUAGUUGGUGGUGGCGCGCGGGCCGCGGAGCCUGCGCGCGGCGGCGUCGUAGGCGCGCGCGGCCUGCUCGGGCGUGUCGAAGGUGCCCAGCCACACCCGCGCCUUCCGCGCCGGGUCCCUGAUCUCCGCCGCGUACCGGCCCCACGGCCGCUUCCGCACCCCGCGCAGCCUCGGCUUCCCCUGCUCCGGCUCCGGCACCGGCAGCUCCGCCGCCGCCGUGACCUCCUCGCUGAUG